CUGGUGAGAAAAAACCAAAACAAAAUAGAAUUUUGAGAGAGCAGUUUCAGUGAGACGCCGGAGUUCCAAAGGCUAUAGCUAAAGCUCAAUAUCAGCAGAAAACUUGUAAAUCUCUAAUCGCUUCUUCCUUCUUCAUUGAUUUUAGCAAUGUUCAUCUAUAUCUUUACUAAACUUCAGAAGAUCGUCGGCGACCUCCAUCCCCAUCAAGUUCUUCACAGAGUAGAUCUUUCUUCUGCGAUCGGAGUGACUUACGUUAUGCCUGUAAAUUUAAUUGGCGGUUUCAAAACCGUCAUUGGUCGACGGAUCUGCACUGCGAAGACCCGAGCUGGUUUAAGUCAACGGGCUUUGAACCCGACAAGCUUUCAAAUGGGUUAUUGGGGCUCGCUUGAUCGGACCCAAACGUACUUCUGGUGCCGGAUGUCCUGCCCCAGUUUUCGAUCAGAAAUGCCAAACAAGUCAGCUCAGAGAUGCGUAUGUGAGUUAAGAUCUCUGGCUUUGCUUUGACAAAAGGCAUCACUACAGAGACAUUGGCAUGGACUGAUAGAUAAAAGACCACUGGUAAAAGUAUUUGCAUCUGCAAAAGAUAGUGCCGCCGUCUCUGUCUCAGGGCAGAUUAGUGUUUCAGCGUUUAUGUGAUUUUAGAAUCAAAUCAAGCCGAGGCGCUUAUGGGUUCAAUCAGACAAUGAAUCACCAUGCGGCCUCUGUUAAUCUUUUGGUUCAUCUUUGAUUUUGUAGUUAUCCAAAAGCACAAACCGAAGCAAUUAAAAGUGGGAACUAUCAGAAGAAGACUGAAAAAUGUAGAAUUCAAGUAUGGUGAAAAAACCCACUGAAAAAUAAAGCGAUUAAUUCAAUAUAUUGGCAAAUCCAACUCGCCCAUGUUCAUUAAAGAGAGCUACAAAGGACAAGGAAAAGCCUUGGAAUAUAUAUUUACAUGACAGAAAAGGAUCCUUACGGUUAUGGGUAUUUGUCAUUGUGUUGUUGUUGGAUUUUCAGGCACCACCAGAGGAGCAUAGAGAAGCCGCAAACUUGACUAAGAGAUCAAAAAUCAUUCGCUUCACAGAUUUCCUCGGUGGGGGUAUCACACUUGCCUGCCGAAUCCUUGCCGCCAUUCCAGAUCCGUUGGGCCCAACCGUUGCUGCAACCGGGUUCAGCCUCACCGCCAUCGACUGCCACUUACUUGGAGUAGAGUGUCUUCACAACUAUGAUAUCCACUCCUCAAAAUGUGUUCUGCUUUAAAGCUUUUGUUAAAUAUAUAUAUAUAUAUAUAU